rnacentral:rRNA from 1 species
UGAACGCUGGCGGCGUGCUUAACACAUGCAAGUCGAACGAAAGGACGGGAAGAGCUUGCUCUUUCCGGAAUUGAGUGGCAAACGGGUGAGUAACACGUAAACAACCUGCCUUCAGGAUGGGGACAACAGACGGAAACGACUGCUAAUACCGAAUAAGUUCCAAGAGCCGCAUGGCCCAUGGAAGAAAAGGUGGCCUCUACCUGUAAGCUAUCGCCUGAAGAGGGGUUUGCGUCUGAUUAGCUGGUUGGAGGGGUAACGGCCCACCAAGGCGACGAUCAGUAGCCGGUCUGAGAGGAUGAACGGCCACACUGGAACUGAGACACGGUCCAGACUCCUACGGGAGGCAGCAGUGGGAAUCUUCCGCAAUGGGCGAAAGCCUGACGGAGCAACGCCGCGUGAGUGAUGACGGCCUUCGGGUUGUAAAACUCUGUGAUCCGGGACGAAAAGGCAGAGUGCGAAGAACAAACUGCAUUGACGGUACCGGAAAAGCAAGCCACGGCUAACUACGUG